GCCCGGGUGGUUCAGUCGGUUGAGCGUCCGACUUCAGUUCAGGUCAUGACCUCAUGGUCGGUGGGUUCAAGCCCCGCAUCGGGCU
rnacentral:tRNA from 1 species